rnacentral:rRNA from 1 species
UAGAGUUUUGAUCAUGGCUCAGAUUGAACGCUGGCGGCAGGCCUAACACAUGCAAGUCGGGCGGUAGCACAAGGGAGCUUGCUCCCUGGGUGACGAGCGGCGGACGGGUGAGUAAUGUCUGGGAAACUGCCUGAUGGAGGGGGAUAACUACUGGAAACGGUAGCUAAUACCGCAUAACGUCGCAAGACCAAAGAGGGGGACCUUCGGGCCUCUUGCCAUCGGAUGUGCCCAGAUGGGAUUAGCUAGUAGGUGGGGUAAAGGCUCACCUAGGCGACGAUCCCUAGCUGGUCUGAGAGGAUGACCAGCCACACUGGAACUGAGACACGGUCCAGACUCCUACGGGAGGCAGCAGUGGGGAAUAUUGCACAAUGGGCGCAAGCCUGAUGCAGCCAUGCCGCGUGUGUGAAGAAGGCCUUCGGGUUGUAAAGCACUUUCAGCGGGGAGGAAGGGAGCAGGCUUAAUACGUCUGUUCAUUGACGUUACCCGCAGAAGAAGCACCGGCUAACUCCGUGCCAGCAGCCGCGGUAAUACGGAGGGUGCAAGCGUUAAUCGGAAUGACUGGGCGUAAAGCGCACGCAGGCGGUCUGUUAAGUUGGAUGUGAAAUCCCCGGGCUUAACCUGGGAACUGCAUUCAAAACUGACAGGCUAGAGUCUCGUAGAGGGGGGUAGAAUUCCAGGUGUAGCGGUGAAAUGCGUAGAGAUCUGGAGGAAUACCGGUGGCGAAGGCGGCCCCCUGGACGAAGACUGACGCUCAGGUGCGAAAGCGUGGGGAGCAAACAGGAUUAGAUACCCUGGUAGUCCACGCUGUAAACGAUGUCGAUUUGGAGGUUGUGCCCUUGAGGCGUGGCUUCCGGAGCUAACGCGUUAAAUCGACCGCCUGGGGAGUACGGCCGCAAGGUUAAAACUCAAAUGAAUUGACGGGGGCCCGCACAAGCGGUGGAGCAUGUGGUUUAAUUCGAUGCAACGCGAAGAACCUUACCUACUCUUGACAUCCAGAGAAGCCUGCAGAGAUGCGGGUGUGCCUUCGGGAGCUCUGAGACAGGUGCUGCAUGGCUGUCGUCAGCUCGUGUUGUGAAAUGUUGGGUUAAGUCCCGCAACGAGCGCAACCCUUAUCCUUUGUUGCCAGCACUUCGGGUGGGAACUCAAGGGAGACUGCCGGUGAUAAACCGGAGGAAGGUGGGGAUGACGUCAAGUCAUCAUGGCCCUUACGAGUAGGGCUACACACGUGCUACAAUGGCGUAUACAAAGAGAAGCGACCUCGCGAGAGCAAGCGGACCUCAUAAAGUACGUCGUAGUCCGGAUUGGAGUCUGCAACUCGACUCCAUGAAGUCGGAAUCGCUAGUAAUCGUAGAUCAGAAUGCUACGGUGAAUACGUUCCCGGGCCUUGUACACACCGCCCGUCACACCAUGGGAGUGGGUUGCAAAAGAAGUAGGUAGCUUAACCUUCGGGAGGGCGCUUACCACUUUGUGAUUCAUGACUGGGGUGAAGUCGUAACAAGGUAACCGUAGGGGAACCUGCGGUUGGAUCACCUCCUUACCGAGUAGAAGUGCCUGCGUGGUGUCCACACAGAUUGUCUGAUGAUAAGAAAGAGUCAAAAGCGUCUUGCGAAGCUGACAAGUGAUGUCCCCUUCGUCUAGAGGCCCAGGACACCGCCCUUUCACGGCGGUAACAGGGGUUCGAAUCCCCUAGGGGACGCCAAUGACUGACGGUGGGUGAAAGGCACGGUCAACGCUAACCUAAAACUGAUUAGAGAUAGUCAGGUUUAUGUUAUCUGCUCUUUAACAAUCCGGAACAAGCUGAAUAAUUUGAAACGACGGCAUAUGAAUGUGAAUUCAUGUGUUGUUCGAGUCUCUCAAAAUACUCGCAUCCCGAGACACUUUCGGGUUGUGAGGUUAAGCGA